GAAUGGUAUGAAGAUUAUAAUAUAUUGAUAGCUGUUAUGAUAGCCACUUAUCAUGUAUUAGCUCUAGCUGAUCAUUC